GAAGGUUUUCGGAUCGUAAAACUCUGUUGUUAGGGAAGAACAAGUACCGUUCGAAUAUGGCGGUACCUUGACGGUACCUAACCAGAAAGCCACGGCUAACUACGUGCCAGCAGCCGCGGUAAUACGAAGGGGGCGAGCGUUAUUUGGUGUAAUUUGGUGUAAAGUGUUCGUAGACGGUAAAAAGGUUGUUUAGAGUUAAAAUCCAAAAACCCAAUUUUUGUGGCUAAAUCUUAAUACACUUUUACUUGAGUUUAAUAAAAGAUUAGAGAACUUUAAAGGAAGAUCUGGAAUUCGAAGAACUUUAAAAGAAUAUCAAUAGCGAAGGCACUAAUCUAGGUUAAAACUGACGUUGAGGAACGAAAGAGUAGGGAGCAAACAGGAUUAGAUACCC
rnacentral:rRNA from 13 species